rnacentral:rRNA from 1 species
GAUGAACGCUGGCGGCGUGCCUAAUACAUGCAAGUCGAGCGAACAGACGAGGAGCUUGCUCCUCUGACGUUAGCGGCGGACGGGUGAGUAACACGUGGAUAACCUACCUAUAAGACUGGGAUAACUUCGGGAAACCGGAGCUAAUACCGGAUAAUAUAUUGAACCGCAUGGUUCAAUAGUGAAAGACGGUUUUGCUGUCACUUAUAGAUGGAUCCGCGCCGCAUUAGCUAGUUGGUAAGGCAACGGCUUACCAAGGCAACGAUGCGUAGCCGACCUGAGAGAGUGAUCGCCGCAACUGGAACUGCGACACGGUCCAGACUCCUACGGGAGGCAGCAGUAGGGAAUGUCCCGCAAUGGGCGAACGCCUGACGGAGCAACGCCGCGUGAGUGAUGAAGGUCUUCGGAUCGUAAAACUCUGUUAUUAGGGAAGAACAAAUGUGUAAGUAACUAUGCACGUAUUGACGGUACCUAAUCAGAAAGCCACGGCUAACUACGUG